CUAUCUACAGGCUUAACACAUGCAAGUCGAGGGGCAGCAUGGUCUUAGCUUGCUAAGGCCGAUGGCGACCGGCGCACGGGUGAGUAACACGUAUCCAACCUGCCGUCUACUCUUGGACAGCCUUCUGAAAGGAAGAUUAAUACAAGAUGGCAUCAUGAGUCCGCAUGUUCACAUGAUUAAAGGUAUUCCGGUAGACGAUGGGGAUGCGUUCCAUUAGAUAGUAGGCGGGGUAACGGCCCACCUAGUCUUCGAUGGAUAGGGGUUCUGAGAGGAAGGUCCCCCACAUUGGAACUGAGACACGGUCCAAACUCCUACGGGAGGCAGCAGUGAGGAAUAUUGGUCAAUGGGCGAGAGCCUGAACCAGCCAAGUAGCGUGAAGGAUGACUGCCCUAUGGGUUGUAAACUUCUUUUAUAAAGGAAUAAAGUCGGGUAUGCAUACCCGUUUGCAUGUACUUUAUGAAUAAGGAUCGGCUAACUCCGUGCCAGCAGCCGCGGUAAUACGGAGGAUCCGAGCGUUAUCCGGAUUUAUUGGGUUUAAAGGGAGCGUAGAUGGAUGUUUAAGUCAGUUGUGAAAGUUUGCGGCUCAACCGUAAAAUUGCAGUUGAUACUGGAUAUCUUGAGUGCAGUUGAGGCAGGCGGAAUUCGUGGUGUAGCGGUGAAAUGCUUAGAUAUCACGAAGAACUCCGAUUGCGAAGGCAGCCUGCUAAGCUGCAACUGACAUUGAGGCUCGAAAGUGUGGGUAUCAAACAGGAUUAGAUACCCUGGUAGUCCACACGGUAAACGAUGAAUACUCGCUGUUUGCGAUAUACGGCAAGCGGCCAAGCGAAAGCGUUAAGUAUUCCACCUGGGGAGUACGCCGGCAACGGUGAAACUCAAAGGAAUUGACGGGGGCCCGCACAAGCGGAGGAACAUGUGGUUUAAUUCGAUGAUACGCGAGGAACCUUACCCGGGCUUAAAUUGCAGAUGAAUUACAGUGAAAGCCGUAAGCCGCAAGGCAUCUGUGAAGGUGCUGCAUGGUUGUCGUCAGCUCGUGCCGUGAGGUGUCGGCUUAAGUGCCAUAACGAGCGCAACCCUUGUUGUCAGUUACUAACAGGUUCCGCUGAGGACUCUGACAAGACUGCCAUCGUAAGAUGUGAGGAAGGUGGGGAUGACGUCAAAUCAGCACGGCCCUUACGUCCGGGGCUACACACGUGUUACAAUGGGGGGUACAGAGGGCCGCUACCACGCGAGUGGAUGCCAAUCCCCAAAACCUCUCUCAGUUCGGACUGGAGUCUGCAACCCGACUCCACGAAGCUGGAUUCGCUAGUAAUCGCGCAUCAGCCACGGCGCGGUGAAUACGUUCCCGGGCCUUGUACACACCGCCCGUCAAGCCAUGGGAGCCGGGGGUACCUGAAGUGCGUAACCGCGAGGAGCGCCCUAGGGUAAAACUGGUGACUGGGGCUA
rnacentral:rRNA from 1 species